GGUUGGUUAGUUUCUCUACUGAAAAAGUAGAACAUUAAAAUUGAAAAAAUUAAAAUAUUAAAGUAGAAUAUUAAAAUUGUAGAUCGUUUUUUGGUCUUCUGUUAUGAAAGCAGGCUAUUGAUUAGGCAAGCUAGGUUAAAUGUCAACUAGCUAGAAUGCUAACAUUUAACCAAAUAUUUUUUAUAACUAACCCAUGAUGGACAACAGCCUGUCGUUUCCAAUGGGAGAAAAGUAAUCAUAGUGGAUAAAACAAGCAAGGAGGUAGGCAAAGCCAAGCAUGAGCUUGUGAGAUCCUAUUGGCACGUUCUAGCAUGUAUUCACAAAUAUCCGUUAGGGAUCGUCUACUCUGUGAAGUACACGCGUGCAGUAACUCAGCUCAACCUUGCACUCCUAAACAUCACCAUUUUUUAAAACUUUGACUAAGUUUACAAAACUUAGUCCACUCUGUUCGUAACAUAUUGUAAUUUUGGGAACAUAAACUGUAUUGAGAUCAAAUGUUUAAUUGAUGAGAAAAUUAGCAGAAUGACGGCCAAAUCCACUUCGCUUUAUCUUCUCCCACUGCCGGCCACUGUGCUUCCUCUCAUCACCAUAUUUGGUGGUGAGUAGAAAUACCAACCGGACGCUUCAGAUUUAUACAUCUGGUGAAACAUCUGGCUCAUUGUUUCAUCUGUGGUUUAACCAAAGAUGGUUUCGUUUUAUAUACACAGUAUCUGGUUUAACUAAGAGCAUUGUAGCUGAGUAAAAACUGAGCCAUGCUGACUGACAAGUGGCAUUGGUACAGCUCUGCCCCAAAUUGCAUGUUAUUAUUUGCCUAAAUCAUCAUCCAUAGAUGACUACAGCCACAGCAGUCUUAAAAUGGACUGUUACCUUGAUUGCAACAUUAAGAUGUUAAAACAUCUAAACUCCUAUUGAACUGUGACAUUUCCUGACAUCUUGUUUCCCUUUCUCACUCCAGUUGUUCUCAACACACGUUUAACCAGGUGGAGUCGGGCUUCUACUCAGGAGACAGAUGAUGAUGCUGCUGCCCCACGGUAAGAACCUGGCGAUCUUCACUGAGGGAGGUGACGUGGCCACAAACAGUGCCUGGUACUCGUUCCAGUGCUACCUGCCGACUGGAGAACAGCCAGGGUCUGGUCAAGACAACUUCAUCUUUAGUGUGUCAGCUCUGCUGCACCUGGGAGCUAAAAGAUGGCUCUGGCUUGCUGAUGAAAUCUGACUGAACUUAGACUGUAGUCAAUAAAACUUUCAAUGCCAAAUUGAAAUCAUUCAAGAUUCUGUAAUUGAUCGAAAAUGAUAGUUCCCAAUCAGACAAUUACUAUACAUCAAAUCUGUUUCUCAGUGCAAUGUUUGGUGAAUGCAAGGCAUCGUUUUUUCUUCAGUCCUCCUUUGAAUGCUGUGUGUACUGAUUCAGUUCUAAACGACCACCAUCGAGUCCAUUCUCAACCGCCGAUCACUGCAACAAUUGGCCGGUCUGCUGAGAGGGUUAUUGGCUGCCACCUGCCCUCCAUUGAGGUCUCACAUGACUCCAGGGCAAGGAAGCGUGCGGAAAAGAUCAUUGCCGACC